rnacentral:rRNA from 1 species
CCUACGGGUGGCAGCAGUCGAGAAUAAUUCACAAUGGGGGAAACCCUGAUGGUGCGACGCCGCGUGGGGGAAUGAAGGUCUUCGGAUUGUAAACCCCUGUCAUGUGGGAGCAAAUUAACAAGAUAGUACCACAAGAGGAAGAGACGGCUAACUCAGUGCCAGCAGCCGCGGUAAUACAGAGGUCUCAAGCGUUGUUCGGAAUCACUGGGCGUAAAGCGUGCGUAGGCUGUUUCGUAAGUCGUGGGUGAAAGGCGCGGGCGCAACCCGCGGACGGCACAUGAUACUGCGAGACUAGAGUAAUGGAGGGGGAACCGGAAUUCUCGGGGUAGGAGUGAAAUGCGUAGAUAUCGAGAGGAACACUCGUGGCGAAGGCGGGUUCCUGGACAUUAACUGACGCUGAGGAACGAAGGCCAGGGGAGCGAAAGGGAUUAGAUACCCGUGUAGUC